rnacentral:rRNA from 1 species
UACAGAGGUGGCAAGCGUUGUUCGGAAUUACUGGGCGUAAAGGGCGCGUAGGCAGUUCGUUAAGUCCUGUGUGAAAUCCCCCGGCUCAACCGGGGAACUGCAUCCGAUACUGGAUGGCUUGAGUUCGGGAGAGGGAUGCGGAAUUCCAGGUGUAGCGGUGAAAUGCGUAGAUAUCUGGAGGAACACCGGUGGCGAAGGCGGCAUCCUGGACCGACACUGACGCUGAGGAGCGAAAGCCAGGGGAGCAAACGGG